GAUGGGUGCUUUUUGCGGAUGUUGAUUGAGGUAGUGAUCAAAGCCUCCCAAAGCCAUACAUUGGGGUCAAUGUAUCCCAAGUGUGGGGAUGGGGGGAAUUUUUUGAAGAUUUUUGAAAAAUUUUAAGCCGAGCAAAACAAUGUGAAAUCUUGUCGCCCUAAUUUAUCCCCAAGUUAAUGCACCGGCAACCCUUAUUACCCUUUUCAUUCUUGGUGAGAGUUGUAACCACACGUGUAUAUAAAUAAUCUUUGAUGAGAGUGGCUAUGGGUGGGGGUGCGUUAGAACUUGUGCUUGAAUACGAUUUGAAUCCUUAGUUAGACAUGAAUGUAGAAAGGAUAAGGGCAUUAGGUAGCCUCGUCGUUGGUGUGAGCGAGUGUGGGAUUUGGGGGGUUGGACCUCAUAAGUUAUAUAUAUGAGCAUGGUAGUGAGAGGGGCGGGGGUUUGGUCAUUUAGUUGCCCAAUUUUGUGCCUAAAGCCUAUCAUUUGUUUCCCCUAGCUACUUACUUAAAAAUUUACCCAAAUUUGACCCGGUCUUAUAGCGUUAGUGUUAGAAUUAGUAGUUUUGUGAGUUUGAAGUAGUCAUGGUUAAUGUAUUAUCGUAUUGUUAAAAUAAAAAAAUAAAAAAAAAACAAAAAAAAAAGAGAAAAAAAAAUAAAAAUAAAAAAAAGAGAAAAAAAGUAAUGAG
rnacentral:lncRNA from 1 species